rfam:Aphanomyces invadans strain NJM9701 unplaced genomic scaffold supercont1.3, whole genome shotgun sequence.
CACCUGGUGUUUUUCAACACCACCCUUCUGACCGAGAAAUUCUUCGU